rnacentral:rRNA from 1 species
CCUACGGGUGGCAGCAGUGAGGAAUAUUGGUCAAUGGGCGCUAGCCUGAACCAGCCAAGUAGCGUGAAGGAUGACUGCCCUAUGGGUUGUAAACUUCUUUUAUAUGGGAAUAAAGUGCAGUAUGUAUACUGCUUUGCAUGUACCUUAUGAAUAAGGAUCGGCUAACUCAGUGCCAGCAGCCGCGGUAAUACGGAGGAUCCGGGCGUUAUCCGGAUUUAUUGGGUUUAAAGGGAGCGUAGGCGGGUUUUUUAGUUAGUUGUGAAAGUUUGCGGCUCAAACGUAAGAUUGCAGUGGAUACUGGCAUCCUUGAGUACAGUAGAGGUGAGUGGAAUUCGAGGUGUAGCGGUGAAAUGCGUAGAUAUCAGGAGGAACACCGAUGGCGAAGGCAGCCUGCUGGACUGUAACUGACGCUGAGGCUCGAAAGUGUGGGGAGCAAACAGGAUUAGAUACCCGUGUAGUC